AGAGUUUGAUCAUGGCUCAGAUUGAACGCUGGCGGCAUGCUUUACACAUGCAAGUCGAACGGCAGCACGGGGGCAACCCUGGUGGCGAGUGGCGAACGGGUGAGUAAUGCAUCGGAACGUAUCCUUAAGUGGGGGAUAACGCAUCGAAAGAUGCGCUAAUACCGCAUAAUCUCUGAGGAGAAAAGCAGGGGAUCGCAAGACCUCGCGCUUUUGGAGCGGCCGAUGUCUGAUUAGCUAGUUGGUGAGGUAAAGGCUUACCAAGGCUUCGAUCAGUAGCUGGUCUGAGAGGACGACCAGCCACACUGGGACUGAGACACGGCCCAGACUCCUACGGGAGGCAGCAGUGGGGAAUUUUGGACAAUGGGGGAAACCCUGAUCCAGCCAUGCCGCGUGAGUGAAGAAGGCCUUCGGGUUGUAAAGCUCUUUCAGCCGGAACGAAAAGGUUACGGUUAAUACCCGUGACUAAUGACGGUACCGGAAGAAGAAGCACCGGCUAACUACGUGCCAGCAGCCGCGGUA
rnacentral:rRNA from 1 species